AGCAGCCGCGGUAAUUCCAGCUCCAAUAGCGUAUAUUAAAGUUGUUGCAGUUAAAAAGCUCGUAGUUGAAUUUCGGGGUCAGCAGGUUGGUCGUGCCUCUGGUACGCACUGGUUUCGCUGAUUCCUCCUUUCUGAAGAACUGUAAUGUCAUUAAUUNGGUGUUGCAGGGAAACAGGACUGUUACUUUGAAAAAAUUAGAGUGUUUAAAGCAAGCUAACGCUUGAAUACAUUAGCAUGGAAUAAUGAAAUAGGACGUUUGAUCCUAUUUUGUUGGUUUCUAGGAUUGACGUAAUGAUUAAUAGGGAUAGUUGGGGGCAUUAGUAUUCAAUUGUCAGAGGUGAAAUUCUUGGAUUUAUGGAAGACUAACUACUGCGAAAGCAUUUGCCAAGGAUGUUUUCAUUAAUCAAGAACGAAAGUUAGGGGAUCGAAGACGAUCAGAUACCGUCGUAGUCUUAACCAUAAACUAUGCCGACUAGGGAUCNGGUGAUGUUAAUUUUUUAAUGACUCA
rnacentral:rRNA from 1 species